rnacentral:rRNA from 1 species
AUACGUAGGGGGCGAGCGUUGUCCGGAAUUACUGGGCGUAAAGGGUGCGCAGGCGGCCGAUUAAGUCAGAUGUGAAAUACCAGGGCUCAACCCUGGGGGUGCAUUUGAAACUGGUUGGCUUGAGUGCAGGAGAGGAAAGCGGAAUUCCUAGUGUAGCGGUGAAAUGCGUAGAGAUUAGGAGGAACACCAGUGGCGAAGGCGGCUUUCUGGACUGUAACUGACGCUGAGGCACGAAAGCGUGGGGAGCAAACAGGAUUAGAUACCCUGGUAGUCCACGCCGUAAACGAUGGAUACUAGGUGUAGGGGGUUAUGACACCUUCUGUGCCGGAGUUAACGCAAUAAGUAUCCCGCCUGGGGAGUACGGCCGCAAGGUUGAA